GAUGAACGCUGGCGGCGUGCCUAAUACAUGCAAGUCGAGCGAACAGACGAGGAGCUUGCUCCUCUGACGUUAGCGGCGGACGGGUGAGUAACACGUGGAUAACCUACCUAUAAGACUGGGAUAACUUCGGGAAACCGGAGCUAAUACCGGAUAAUAUAUUGAACCGCAUGGUUCAAUAGUGAAAGACGGUUUUGCUGUCACUUAUAGAUGGAUCCGCGCCGCAUUAGCUAGUUGGUAAGGUAACGGCUUACCAAGGCGACGAUGCGUAGCCGACCUGAGAGGGGGACCGCCCACAUGAGAAGGGAGCCCGGCCCAGGCCCCCUGGGGGAGGCAGAAGGGGGGAACCUGCGGAAAGGGGCAAAACCCGGCGGGACCAACCCGGGGGGAGGGAGAAGGGUCUUGGGAUCUAAAACCUUUUUUAGGGGGAAAAAAAAAAUGUUAAAGAAACAAUGCAGGUCUGGAGGUAACAAAACAAAAAAGCCCCGGAAAACUCGGUC
rnacentral:rRNA from 1 species